GGUCGCUUAGCUCAGUUGGUUAGAGCGUGGUGCUAAUAAGCAUUGUUGAUAACGCCAAGGUCGCAGGUUCGACCCCUGCAGUGAUCA
rnacentral:tRNA from 1 species